rnacentral:rRNA from 1 species
UACAGGGGGGGCAAGCGUUGUUCGGAAUUACUGGGCGUAAAGGGUCUGUAGGUGGCUUGCUAAGUCAGACGUGAAAUCCCUCAGCUUAACUGGGGAACUGCGUCUGAGACUGGCGAGCUUGAGUGCAGGAGAGGAACGCGGAAUUCCAGGUGUAGCGGUGAAAUGCGUAGAUAUCUGGAGGAACACCGGUGGCGAAGGCGGCGUUCUGGACUGCAACUGACACUGAGAGACGAAAGCCAGGGGAGCAAACGGG